rnacentral:rRNA from 1 species
GGCCAUACCACUUUGAACGCGCCCAAUCUCGUCUGAUCUCGGAAGCUAAGCAGGGUUGGGCCUGGUUAGUACUUGGAUGGGAGAAAUACAGACUAAAACUUCUGAGGGCACAUCUAUGAAACUGGCCACC